AUGCGUUCUCCCUCUCCCCUCCAGCUCCCACCCCCACCCUCUCACUCCCCGCCCCCUCGCCGGGGGGGGGGGGGGGGGGCGGGAGUGGGUUUGGAGCAUCUCUUCUGUCAGACCUGUGAGAGCUGGGACGGCUUGCUUCCGAGCGCAUCCCGAGUGCAACCAUCUUUCUCAGGACCUGAGGGUCUGGUGUUCACAUCCCUUC
rnacentral:lncRNA from 1 species